UACAGAGGGUGCGAGCGUUAAUCGGAAUUACUGGGCGUAAAGCGCGUGUAGGCGGCUUUGUAAGUCGGUUGUGAAAUCCCCGGGCUUAACCUGGGAACUGCAUCCGAGACUGCAUGGCUAGAGUAUGGGAGAGGGAAGUGGAAUUUCAGGUGUAGCGGUGAAAUGCGUAGAUAUCUGAAGGAACAUCAGUGGCGAAAGCGACUUCCUGGACCAAUACUGACGCUCAUGUGCGAAAGCGUGGGGAGCAAACAGG
rnacentral:rRNA from 1 species